AUAAAAUAAUUAUAUUUUUGAAAAUUUAUUAUAAAUUUAUUUUACAUAUAAAUUUUAGUAUAUAAUUUUAAUUAUUUAAAUAAUAAUUAAUUUAAAUUAUGAUAAAGUAGUAAUUAAUAUUAAAAAUUUAAGAAAUUAAGAUUUAGUAAUAUAAAAAUUAAUAACUAAUUUUGUGCCAGCAGUUGCGGUUAAACAAAAGUUAAAUUAAAUUAUUUCAGUUUAUAAUAAAUAAAAUAUUUUAUUAAAAUAAAUAUUAAAUUAUUAAGUGAAAUUUUAAUUUAAUUAAAUUUUAUAUAAUUAUUAUGAUUUAAUAAAUUUUAAUAUAAACUAGGAUUAGAUACCCUAUUAUUAAAAAUUUAAUUUAUAAUACUAAAAUAGUAAAUAAUAAUUUAUUGAAACUUAAAUAAUAUGGCGGUAUUUUAGUUCAUUUAGAGGAAUCUGUCUAAUAAUUGAUAAUCCACGAAUAAAUUUACUUAGUUUAUAAUUUUGUAUAUCAUUGUUAAAAAAAUAUUUUUUAGUAAAAAUAAUAUUUAAAUUUUAUUAAAGAAAUUAAAUCAGAUCAAGAUGCAGAAUAUAAUUAAGAAUAUGAUGGAUUACAUUAAAUAUAUUUAAAUGAAUAAUUUUAUUGUAAUAUAAGUUUGAAGGUGGAUUUAAAUGUAAUUUUAAUUAAUUUAUUAAAAUGAUUAAUAAUUAAAAUAUGUACAUAUUGCCCGUCACUUUCAUUUAAAAAUUGAAAUAAGUCGUAACAAAGUAGAGGUACUGGAAAGUGUUUCUAGAAAGA
rnacentral:ncRNA from 1 species